rnacentral:rRNA from 1 species
CCGGCACGGGUGAGUAACACGUAUCCAACCUGCCGUCUACUCUUGGACAGCCUUCUGAAGGAAGAUUAAUACAAGAUGGCAUCAUGAGUCCGCAUGUUCACAUGAUUAAAGGUAUUCCGGUAGACGAUGGGGAUGCGUUCCAUUAGAUAGUAGGCGGGGUAACGGCCCACCUAGUCUUCGAUGGAUAGGGGUUCUGAGAGGAAGGUCCCCCACAUUGGAACUGAAACACGGUCCAA